CGGCCCCGCAGCGGUGCUCCCGGCGCCGCAGCCACAGGCUCACCUGCCACGGCCACUCCCCGCGACCCGCGGCGCUGCCACCCACGAUCCUGACGUUCUCCACCCACACACCCAGCACAAGGUGCACCUUCAGAACACAACUGUAGAAAGAACAAGGUGCUUUCAAGAGGAUGCUGCAAAGGACCCAUUCUCACCCAGCGGGGGUACUCCUACCCACCUAAUCCCCACAGGGCAUUUUCCAACUCUGGAGCUGGGCCCCUUCCCCAGCACUCUUCCACCACCCAGUACUGCCUGACUCCCCUGUACUGCAGCUUUGGGAAAGGCCCUCCUGUCCCAGCGUCAGCUGGAAGGAGGGAGGGGGAGACAAAAGGCCUCCUGCCCAGUCCCGCCAGCCCCACCUCCUCCAUCUUCCUGACACCAUCUGGACCUUGCCCAGAACCAAGAGGCCUGGCGAAGCUGCAGCCCCUCCUCCUGGAAACACCACCCCCACAAUGGACAAUGCUGCCAUUUCAGGGGCUUCCUCCACCUCUGGGCCCCCAAGUUAAGAACUUGCAGCCUGUAGCUACUAGAAAAGUGAAAAUCGUCAGGCUGGAGGCCCAGACAAAGUCAGGAGUUAACAAAAAACUGUUUCACCUAAGAAUGGGCUAACUAUAAAGUAUCAAACAACUGGUCUCCCAGGGCCUGGCUGGAAACCUUGUGCCCUAAACUCAUACUGGCAGAAACUGUUGUCACCAAGCAGAGCUAUGUGAACGAAAGGGCCCCCUCAGGCCUGAAGGUCUAAGUCGCCGAGACUGCCUGGAUUUCCAGUCCAGGAGCAGGGCUCAAACAAGGGGCUUCUGGACUCCACCCGUCACCUCUAAACUGUGGUUUCCAAGGAGACAGGACCUGGGUCCUCUUUACCCUCCAGAUCCACGUCCAGGCCCUUGGCACAUGGUCUGUUUUGCUCUGAGCCCAUCGAAAUUGCUUCAUCUAAGUCACCUACACCACACUCUGCCCCCAGGUCCCAUGACAACCUGACUUCCAUUGUUUGGUGAGCGACCCCUGGUUCCUUUGGGCUGCCUCAUUGCAAAGAGCCCAUAACCUUAUGGUUCAGGUCUGUGUCUGGGUGACUUAGGCUGCUGGGACCAGGACACUGUAUGAACAUAUGCAGCGGGGAAGGGAAAAACACCCUCAUGACAUGGCAUGAAGGUCAGGAUAGGGCAGUGGGAUUAUGUGGUUUCCCCCCAACUUCUUUGUAAUGGGGUUAAGUUAUGCACACACACCCCUGAGCUGAAGGACACUGGGGGCUUAGUGGAGGCCCAGGGAAGGGGACUGAUGAUGGAGGACAGAGGCAGAGUCAUUUCCCUGGAUCAGUCUCUGUAGGGAGUCACUGGAGGGAACGACAAGUACCAAGACACUGGGGAGUUCUGGGCAAGUCCACAGUGAGUAGGAAGAUGAGUGCAGCCUGCAGAGACCAGCAGCUCUCUGUGCUGAGCACCUGCUCCCUUCGGUGGCCCCCAGAAGCAGCAUGAUCCCAGCACCCCUGCCUCCCCACUUCAGUGGAGCCAGACCAGACAUGACCCCCAGAAUCUGGAUGUGAGCGCACCAAGUUCAGGUCUGCUGGGGCUGUGUGCCCAGAGGCAGAGGCAGGGGGUGGGGUCGCUUGUGGCCCAGAGCCAGGCUGGGGUGGGGGUAGGGGGGGCAGCACCUUCUGCUGGGCCCUGCCCACUUUCAUCUUUUCCCAGAGAGCCCCUUCCUCUCUACUGAGCUCCGCUUGCGUGGCCAUUCUGUCCCUCAAAACCAAGAUGAGGGGGAUGGGGGUUCACCAGGCACACCCCAUGUCAUGCAGAAGCCAGAGUGCUUUCUCUCUAGUCCCAUAGACAGUACAGAUGGCUUUUGCCUUAGCUGGAGCUACAUGACAUUGCCUGUAUCUGAUGGGGCUUUGAACUACAAAUGUAGCAAUUUCACAAAGCUCUAAUAGUAAAAGUGAACCCGGCAUUUUCAACGUGA